rnacentral:rRNA from 1 species
CAGCCGCCGCGGUAAAACGAAGGGGGCUAGCGUUGCUCGGAAUGACUGGGCGUAAAGGGCGCGUAGGCGGAUUGUUUAGUUAGGCGUGAAAUUCCUGGGCUUAACCUGGGGACUGCGCUUAAUACAGGCAGUCUAGAGUGAGGAAGAGGGUUGUGGAAUUCCCAGUGUAGAGGUGAAAUUCGUAGAUAUUGGGAAGAACACCGGUGGCGAAGGCGGCAACCUGGUCCUUGACUGACGCUGAGGCGCGAAAGCGUGGGGAGCAAACAGGAUUAGAUACCCCAGUAGUCCCUGUCUCUUAUAC